UGGGUUUAUAAGGCUCCUAUUGAAAUUUGUGUCACACUUUGACCAACAAUUAUUCAAAUUAUAUUUAGUAUAUGUAUAAAAAAGUUAUACCACUAGAAAGAGUUUAUAUCUUUUGUGCCCCGAUAAUCUCGUAUUAGCAAUGCAAUUUUUGGUUAAAGUUUGGCAUAAAAUUCCGUGCGGGCCUUAUAAACCCAAAUGGAGGGAGUAAUUUUUGUUCGAAUCAAAUCUUUUUUUUACUCCUUAGUACAAGUCAUAUACUCCCUCCGUUUGUUUUUUUUUACCGAAAUCCAUUUCAGUAUGUUAGGCUCAUCUCCAAAUUUAACAAAUAUGGAAAUGUAAUGCUUGGAUUAUGGAGUUUUGAUAUUACUUUUUCUAUCUCCCUCAGAUGUUCAUUACGCCCCUCUUAUUUUUUUUUUCCUUUCAUUUUCCUGGUUGUUAGGCUCUUAUUGAAGUUGAAGAACAAUGACCCUUGUUUACUUCCCACGGUGACUACUCACUUUACGUCACUUUUCACCAAAUAUCAGCAUUUAUAAUACCAAAAAAUAGCAAUAGAUUGAUCAACCA
rnacentral:lncRNA from 1 species